rnacentral:rRNA from 1 species
AGAGUUUGAUCCUGGCUCAGGAUGAACGCUAGCUACAGGCUUAACACAUGCAAGUCGAGGGGCAGCAUUCCGCUAGCAAUAGUGGAGAUGGCGACCGGCGCACGGGUGAGUAACGCGUAUCCAACCUGCCUUAUACUCUUGGAUAGCCUUCUGAAAGGGAGAUUAAUACAAGAUGGUAUCAUGAGUGAGCAUUUUCUCAUGAUUAAAGGUUUACCGGUAUAAGAUGGGGAUGCGUUCCAUUAGAUAGUAGGCGGGGUAACGGCCCACCUAGUCUUCGAUGGAUAGGGGUUCUGAGAGGAAGGUCCCCCACAUUGGAACUGAGACACGGUCCAAACUCCUACGGGAGGCAGCAGUGAGGAAUAUUGGUCAAUGGGCGGUAGCCUGAACCAGCCAAGUAGCGUGAAGGAUGAAGGUUCUAUGGAUUGUAAACUUCUUUUAUAAAGGAAUAAAGUGAGGCACGUGUGCCUUUUUGUAUGUACUUUAUGAAUAAGGAUCGGCUAACUCCGUGCCAGCAGCCGCGGUAAUACGGAGGAUCCGAGCGUUAUCCGGAUUUAUUGGGUUUAAAGGGAGCGUAGAUGGGUUGUUAAGUCAGUUGUGAAAGUUUGCGGCUCAACCGUAAAAUUGCAAUUGAUACUGGCGUCCUUGAGUACAGUUGAGGUGGGCGGAAUUCGUGGUGUAGCGGUGAAAUGCUUAGAUAUCACGAAGAACUCCUAUUGCGAAGGCAGCUCACUAAACUGCAACUGACAUUGAGGCUCGAAAGUGUGGGUAUCAAACAGGAUUAGAUACCCUGGUAGUCCACACGGUAAACGAUGAAUACUCGCUGUUUGCGAUAUACAGCAAGCGGCCAAGCGAAAGCAUUAAGUAUUCCACCUGGGGAGUACGCCGGCAACGGUGAAACUCAAAGGAAU